rnacentral:misc_RNA from 1 species
AACGCACAUUGCACCUCUCGGUAAUCCUUGAGGUAUACCUGUUCGAGCGCCGUUUGUGUCAUGAGGCAUUGCCUUGCGAUGAUGAUUGUCCGGGAGGACGGUUGUCGAAACAGAUUGGCGUCUGCAUUUGACGUGAAUUGCAGCAAAAUGCGAAACACGUGGAAGGCAGACGGCCUGCUCGAAAAUUCAAGCAUGGCCUCGGAUCAGGUAGGGAUACCCGCUGAACUUAA